rnacentral:lncRNA from 1 species
UUUCAAGCACUUGGUGUAGCUGGCUUAUCCACUUCAAGUUGAGCAAGGUCACAAAGUCUGUUGAUUCAUAUGGCAAUUCCUGUGUCAAACACAAAAUUCUACCUCAUCUUUGAAUCAAAUCCAAUAGAGCAAGAUCGCAGCUGUCCCCAGUGUCUGUUGACAACAGAAGGCUGACCUAGUUUAACCAGUUCUCAGCGUUCCUUUGGAGAGCAUUUAGUUUUUCAAGACUGCAAGAAUAGAGCAAGUUUAUUUUAGAAAAUUUAAAAAAUAAAGCAAACACCAAGAUGAAAAAGAGAUAGCAGUUAUUAAUAUUUUGACCUACAACUCUCAAGACUGUUUUAUCUUACUUGUUUCAGUGUUUACAAUAUUUAAAAAGCAAAAGCAAUAGGAACUAUUCAUUUUAUACCAGAAAUUACCUAUUUCUGAACAAACUGAAGGACUUUAUAGACCUUCUCAUCCCAAGAUAAUAAAUGAGUUUUGCAGUUCCGCCUUGUAGAUUCCGCCUCACCAGCCACCCAGAGCCAGUUAGGCUUUCCCCCGGGGCGGUGUCACAUGAUGGCUGGAAAAGAGACUGCUCAGCAUUCUGACUGCGAAUCCCAUUGCUGCCUCUUCCAUCUUUGAGACUCCUACCCUGAGCCUGUAGGGUGCAGGACCCUGAAGGAGGAUUUGGAUGAAAAGGAGCCUGAAAUCCAAAGGACUUGCAAUCUCCUAAAUUAACAAAGGAAACAAGUAAGACAGCAGUGAAAGGAUCAUAUCCUGCUUUCAUAGUUUCUGGUAUAUUCAUACUUGCAGGGACUCCUUCUGCAAUGGUUCUGAUUACGGUGCAUUCAAUCUGCCCCAAAUAAAACAAUUCUGAAAUUUGCUGCA